AUGCAGCAACUGCUGCGAGAAGAAGGAGAUGAUCAACAUGGUGAGGAGGAUGUGAAUGUGCCUCCACCACCACUUGUAGUUACGGGUGAGGACAAACGGCAAGUCGAGAAGCAACCUGAACCUCAUGGUUACAUGUUCAGAAAUAACAUGAAGGCACUUCAAGAUGGCAACUUGGUGACCAUUGACAGAGUUUGGCAGUUGGACAACAUGUUUCUGAUGCCAAUGCCACAACGACUGAAAGAUAUAUGCUUUUCAUUUGCAUUAUUCAAAUUGCUAAGGUGUCGAUUUGCAAGGUACAAACUCGCCGACGUUAUCACCAAGGAGACCAUCAAAUUCGUCAGAAGCGUCAUGCUAAAGGAUGGUGAACAUGAAAGAGCGUUCAGGAUGAUUGCAGAUGAGCUUUCUUUUCUUCAUGAUUAUUAUGAUUCACCACUCCCAGUCCUCUACCCAGGUAGCUGGUUUACUACAACAUUAAGUAUGGUCAUCUCACUCUUGAGCAUAUGUUACUGCAUACUUUAUGUUCUGGACGUCAUCAAAGAAGCUAGGAUAUUUCCUCAGGAGAGGGCCAUAAUUACUUGCAUGUACUUCUGUUCUAUGAGCAAACUCGGGAGGCGUAACCAACGAGCAAUAAGGUUUGGACGUCUGCAUUUUGAUCUAGUGCCAGGGCUGUUACUCACUGUGUUUGUCAUGGUUGCUGAGGCGAGGGAUAUUGCUUCCCACAUAUGCUCUAGCUGGACCAAAGUAAUUCUCACCUGCCGCUGUGUGCGCCGUGCCUCCUUGAAGCUUCCCCCCGUCGUCCCAAAAUGGGUUGGCUAG
rnacentral:rRNA from 1 species